rnacentral:tRNA from 1 species
GAGGGUAUAGCUCAAUGGUAGAGCACAUGCUUAGCAUGGACGAGGUCCUGUGUUAUAUCCCCAGUACCUGCA